rnacentral:rRNA from 1 species
GAUCCUGGCUCAGGAUGAACGCUGGCGGCGUGCUUAACACAUGCAAGUCGAACGGGAAAUACUUUAUUGAAACUUCGGUCGAUUUAAUCUAUUUCUAGUGGCGGACGGGUGAGUAACGCGUGGGUAACCUGCCUUAUACUGGGGGAUAACAGCCAGAAAUGACUGCUAAUACCGCAUAAGCGCACGGGGCCGCAUGGUCCUGUGUGAAAAACUCCGGUGGUAUAAGAUGGACCCGCGUUGGAUUAGCUAGUUGG